rnacentral:rRNA from 1 species
GACGAACGUUAGCAGCGCGCCUAACACAUGCAAGUCGUGCGAGAAAGGGCUUCGGCCCCGGUAAAGCGGCGCACGGGUGAGUAACACGUAGGUAACCUACCCCUUGGUGGUGGAUAACCUUCCGAAAGGAGGGCUAAUACAGCAUGAGACCACGAUCUCGUAAGAGGUUGAGGUCAAAUCGGGCCUCUAUAUAUAAGCUCGAGCCGAGGGAUGGGCCUGCGGCCCAUCAGCUAGUUGGUAGGGUAAUGGCCUACCAAGGCAAAGACGGGUAGCUGGUCUGAGAGGAUGAUCAGCCACACUGGAACUGAGACACGGGCCAGACUCCUACGGGAGGCAGCAGUGGGGAAUCUUGCGCAAUGGGGGAAACCCUGAUGCAGCGACGCCGCGUGAGUGAUGAAGGCCUUCGGGUUGUAAAGCUCUGUGGAGAGGGACGAAUAAGUGUGGUCAAAUAGGCCGCAUGAUGACGGUACCUCUUUAGCAAGCACCGGCUAACUCUGUGCCAGCCGCCGCCGUAAAAC